AAUGACCGGUUUAGAAUUAGACUUUUCUUCCGACAUUUUUCAGGUGCUGCAUGGUUGUCGUCAGCUCGUGCCGUGAGGUGUUAGGUUAAGUCCUGCAACGAGCGCAACCCCUGUCACUAUUUGCCAUCAUUAAGUUGGGGACUCUACUGAGACUGCCUACCCAAGUAUAGAGGAAGGUGGGGAUGACAUCAAAUCAUCACGGCCCUUACGCCUUGGGCCACACACGUAAUACAAUGGCCGGUACAGAGGGCAGCUACACUGCCACGUGAUGCAAAUCUCAAAUGCCGGUCUCAGUUCGGAUUGGAAUCUGCAACUCGACUCUAUGAAGCUGGAA
rnacentral:rRNA from 1 species